rnacentral:tRNA from 4 species
GGCCCGGUGGUGAAAUUGGUAUACACGCAAGACUUAAAAUCUUGUGACAGCAAUGUCGUGUGGGUUCGAGUCCCACCCGGGCCA